AUUGAACGCUGGCGGCAGGCUUAACACAUGCAAGUCGAGCGGUAACAGAGGGUAGCUUGCUACUUUGCUGACGAGCGGCGGACGGGUGAGUAAUGCUUGGGAAUAUGCCUUAUGGUGGGGGACAACCAGGGGAAACCCUGGCUAAUACCGCAUACACUCUACGGAGAAAAGGAGGCCUCUUCUUGAAAGCUUUCGCUAUUGGAUGAGCCUGCGUGAGAUUAGCUAGUUGGUAGGGUAAAGGCCUACCAAGGCGACGAUCUCUAGCUGGUCUGAGAGGACGAUCAGCCACACUGGGACUGAGACACGGCCCAGACUCCUACGGGAGGCAGCAGUGGGGAAUAUUGGACAAUGGGCGCAAGCCUGAUCCAGCAAUGCCGCGUGUGUGAAGAAGGCCCGAGGGUUGUAAAGCACUUUCAGAAGAGAAGAGGGGACUGAUGUUAAUAGCAUUGGAACCGGACGUUACCUUCAGAAGAAGCACCGGCUAACUCUGUGCCAGCAGCCGCGGUAAUACAGAGGGUGCAAGCGUUAAUCGGAAUUACUGGGCGUAAAGCGCGCGUAGGCGGAUAGAUAAGUUGGAUGUGAAAGCCCCGGGCUCAACCUGGGAUGGUCAUUCAAAACUGUUUAUCUAGAAUGUGGUAGAGGGUAGUGGAAUUCCUAGUUUAGCGGUGAAAUGCGUAGAUAUUAGGAGGAAUACCGGUGGCGAAGGCGGCCCCCUGGAUUGAUACUGACACUGAGGUACGAAAGCGUGGGGAGCAAACAGGAUUAGAUACCGUGGUACUCCACGCCGUAAACGAUGUCUACUAGCCGUUGGGAGGCUUGACCUUAGUGGCGAAGCUAACGCGAUAAGUAGACCGCCUGGGGAGUACGGUCGCAAGAUUAAAACUCAAAUGAAUUGACGGGGGCCCGCACAAGCGGUGGAGCAUGUGGUUUAAUUCGAUGCAACGCGAAAAACCUUACCUACUCUUGACAUCCAGAGAACUCGCUAGAGAUAGCUUGGUGCCUUCGGGAACUCUGAGACAGGUGCUGCAUGGCUGUCGUCAGCUCGUGUUGUGAAAUGUUGGGUUAAGUCCCGUAACGAGCGCAACCCUUAUCCUUAUUUGCCAGCGAGUAAUGUCGGCACUAUAAGGAGACUGCCGGUGACAAACCGGAGGAAGGCGGGGACGACGUUCAAGCUCAUCAGUGGCCCUUACGAGCUAUGGCUACACACGGUGCGUACAAUGGCGCUAUACAGAGGGCUGCAAUCUCGCGAGAGGGAGCUAAUCUCACAAAACCGGUCGUAGUCCGGAUCGGAGUCUGCAACUCGACUCCGUGAAGUUGGAAUCGCUAGUAAUCGUGGAUCAGAAUGCCACGGUGAAUACGUUCCCGGGCCUUGUACACACCGCCCGUCACACCAUGGGAGUGGAUUGCACCAGAAGUAGCUAGCUUAACCUUCGGGGGAGCGGUUACCACGGUGUGGUCAAUGACUGGGGUGAAGUCGUAACAAGGUAGCCCUAGGGGAACCUGG
rnacentral:rRNA from 1 species